rnacentral:RNase_P_RNA from 1 species
AAAGCAGACUGUUCUAUCGCUCCGGUUUUAAAAUCCGGAGAGGAAAGUCCGGACAGCACAGGGCAUUCCGCUCCCGAAAGGGGAGAUGUUUGUGAAGGCAUGGUAACGAAGAAGAAAAAAACCGCCUUGUAAAAGAGGUAAGGGUGAGAAGGUGAGGUAAGAGCUCACCGGGUUUGCAGGCAACUGCAGAUGCUGUUCGUCCCGGAAGUUGCAAGACCAAAUAUAUCCUGAAAGCUACGGCACACAGCUGCCCGUUGUGUUUGUUUCAACGUGUUGGACAGUUCAGGAGGGGUAGGUUGCUUAGAUAAAUGAUAGAGACAACAGAAACCGGCUUACAGGUCUGCUUUUUUU